UACGAAGGGGGCUAGCGUUGUUCGGAAUUACUGGGCGUAAAGGGCGCGUAGGCGGUGUGUCAAGUCAGGCGUGAAAGCCCCGGGCUCAACCUGGGAACCGCGCUUGAGACUGGCACGCUCGAGUCCGGGAGAGGAUGGUGGAAUUCCCAGUGUAGAGGUGAAAUUCGUAGAGAUGUGGAGGAACACCAGUGGCGAAGGCGACUCUUUGGCCUGUAACUGACGCUGAGGCGCGAAAGCGUGGGGAGCCAAACAGGG
rnacentral:rRNA from 1 species